GUUGGGCUACACACUUGUCUGCUAAAACAACACCCGCUAUUAAUGUUGUUCUCUAUUUAGAAACCUAGAGAAUUAGCUGUAAAUUUUCUUUAGCAAAAACAACAGUGCUUUUAGCUCUAUUUUAGUAAAAAGCCCGCCACGAACUUGAAACUUUUAUGAAGACUACACGAACUCAGCCCGGGGACUACCAGAGCUACAACGCCCAGCCAAGCGGGAGCAGAGAGCGGCAAACACGGCACAGCAAGUAUAGCAAAGAGACGACCUAUGCCGCUGCAAUGCAGUCCAUACACAAAACGAAAGCAGUUUUCAUGGCUUCAGUGUGUGUUAACUGCUUCAGUACGUCGUCGCCACAGAGUGAGAACUGAACUUUACGAAAUUUCUGCCGACAUUGAUGUUGAGCUCGAGCGACCAGAGGCUCCGGGGAAAGGGGCCCAGCUUUCUUUGAAGAAAGCUGUAGCAACCUUCCGCACCGGGGCUUAUUUCUCUGUUGAGCUUCCAGUUGCUUGCUUCUUCAAGUUGGCUUCAAUGUGUCACUCUUAUAAGUUUGAUCCCGAUGACAACGGGAAGAAAUACUGAUUGGCGAAGACGGUACCGAACAACGUUCCACUGCCAGAGCAGACGACCAAGCCCACGCACGGGACCAGAGCAGACCAACCCAGGCCGUGGGUCUAGAGCUGCAGCAGCCCGGCCCAUCAGCAACGAUGGCUGCUGCCUCUGCGUGAAGUCCACAAACGUGAAAGCAGUGUAAAUUGCUUCAGUUUGUGUAAAAUGGUUCAGUAGACAACGGUACUGAACAUGUUUCACUGCAAAAGCUGACGCAUCAAGACCAGACCAGACCGCCAGACCAGACCUGCCCAGCCCGAUGGCUGCUGCCUCUGCGUGAAGUCCACAAACCUGAAAGCUAUCUAGCGUACCCCAGCAAGAAAAGACGAACCCAGUCCACAGGACCAGAGAAGACUCACCAGCCUAUGGGGUUAGAGCUGCAGCACCCAGCCCAGCAACAUAUGGAUGCAGCUGCGUGAAGUCAACAAACCAG